UAACUCCCUCUAGAACUUACGGGAAAAAAAUCAAUCCAUCUCUUCCCCUCUUUCUCUCUUCUUCUUCAAGGUAAAUCCCCAAUUGAAACUUAACAACCAUGGCUCUCUCAUUCUCGGCGUUAGUUCGAAAAUUGCCCGUCGCCGUCUCCCGAUUCUGCGAUUCAGCGCCGUCGUCCUCUCUCUUCUCUCUCGAAUCUGUCGCAGCCCCUCCGCCAAAUUUCCGCUCUCGGCGAGCAUCACUGAUUAUACACAAAAGUUUUGAUUAUACCCAAAUCUCUGCGCUCAAUUCUCUCCCUCUCGGUUUUCUCCCUCUCGGUUUUACAGGUGGUGCUUCUGUUCGAUUAGGGCAAUUUGCGAUUCAUUUCCUUUUCUUUUUUCUCUUUUAAUUGUUUAAUCGCAUUGUGAUUUUCGCCUGUUGUAUUCGUUUUGAACUGACCUGAUUCCGUUUUGAAUUGCCUGCACUGAGUGAUUUCUGUCAUUUGGAUUUCUGUUUGAAGAAGAGGAGUUAAGAGCUGGCGUAGGGCGUUUGGAAUUGAAGCUGUACGGUGAGCUCACGGCUGAAUUCCUUGGUAUAACAGAGGCACAGUAGGAGGUCGUGUGGCAGGGAACGAAAGGUCAUUUCUACUAUCAGCCCCAUUUCAAAUUAGUCAAAUGGAUAUGGAAUACGAAAUACAUAAUCUGGAACAGAUUGCAUACGAUGCUGUUUUACGAGCUUUCAAAGCACAAUCUGAUGCACUCACAUGGGAGGUCUUAUAACAGAAUUGAGGAAGGAACUCAGGGUGUCAGAUGAUGAGCAUCGAGAACUACUUAGUCAGGUCAAUGGUGAUGACCUCAUUCGCAGGAUCAGAGAGUGGAGGGAGGCAGGUGGUAACCGAAAUAUAGCCCCCAGUGUCGCCCAGCAUAUAAACAACCAGUUACCAAGUCCUACAAUUUCAGCUUCUCGUAAUAUGUUGAGCACUUUUGGAAUAGAUUAGCACUUUAUAAUUUUUAGUACUAGUAUUGUUUGUGUAGUUUAAGUCAAAGAUGACCAACACUUAAUAUUGUUUAGUUUGUGUGUUCAAACACGUUACAUUUUUGUGUAAAAUUAUUUGAUGGUUUGAAUAUUAUUCAAAUAGUUGUCAUUUUA